CAAAAACAUCGCCUCCUGCGAAAAAUCGACGUAUAGGAGGUCCUGCCUGCCCAGUGACUUACUAGUUUAACGGCCGCGGUAUUCUGACCGUGCUAAGGUAGCGCAAUCACUUGUUCUUUAAAUGAGGACCUGUAUGAAUGGUGGAACGAGGGCUUAACUGUCUCCUUCCCCUAGUCAGUGAAAUUGAUCUGCCCGUGCAGAAGCGGGCAUAAAAAUACAAGACGAGAAGACCCUAUGGAGCUUAAGAUAAUAGACCAACCGUGAACAACCCCAUAAUGAAAAUGGCACCAAACAAAACGGGACACUGGUUCAACAUCUUCGGUUGGGGCGACCACGGGGGAGAGCAAAGCCCCCACGUAAAGCGGGAUAUUUCCUAGAGCCAAGAAAGACAUUUCCAAGCCACAGAACAUCUGACUGACAGAUCCGGCCUAUAAGACCGAUCAACGGACCAAGUUACCCUAGGGAUAACAGCGCAAUCCUUUCCAAGAGUCCCUAUCGACGAGAGGGUUUACGACCUCGAUGUUGGAUCAGGACAUCCUAGUGGUGCAGCCGCUAUUAAGGGUUCGUUUGUUCAACGAUUAAAGUCCUACGUGAUCUGAG
rnacentral:rRNA from 1 species